GAUUAAGUGUCGUAAGGGCAUUUGGUGGAUGCCUUGGCAUGCACAGGCGAAGAAGGACGUGAUACGCUGCGAUAAGCCGUGGGGAGCUGCGAAUGAGCUUUGAUCCAUGGAUCUCCGAAUGGGGCAACCCACCUUAGAUACUUGGAAAAUCUGUUCAGUUGGACUGGCGCUGAGGACGCUGCAUGGGACUUCCCAUACAGACCGCCAGGUCGUUGCCAAUCGUUUGGCGCGCCGUCCGCAGCGAAGCGAUCAAGGAUCGCGACAGCGUGAGGACAGAAGUCCUUGUUAACGCUGGCAGAACAUCAACAACUGCACAGGUUUCCAAGUAUCGUUAAUAAGGUAUCUAACCUUCGAAUAGAUAGGGGUUAGAAGCGAACGCAGGGAACUGAAACAUCUAAGUACCUGCAGGAAAGGACAUCAACCGAGACUCCGCAAGUAGUGGCGAGCGAACGCGGACCAGGCCAGUGGCAAUCAGGAAUAAAGCCGAACAAGCUGGAAAGCUUGGCCGUAGCGGG
rnacentral:ncRNA from 1 species